UUUUUAACAGCUGCGGUAUUUUAACUGUACUAAGGUAGCAUAAUAAUUUGCCUUAUAAUUUGAGGCUAGAAUGAAUGGUUUGACGAAGGUUAAUCUGUCUCCGCUUUAUUUUUUAGAAUUUAAUUUUUAAAGUGAAAAAGCUUAAAUUUUUUAAAGGGACGAGAAGACCCUAAUGAGCUUAUAAUUUUAUUAUUGUUGUGCAAAACAUUUGGUCAAUAAUAUAUAAAUUUUAAUUGGGGUGAUUGAGGAAUAAAUUAGAUAAAGUAACUUCCUUAAACUAAAUAUUUAUAGAUAAAGUAACCAAUAUAAUAUUGCUUAUAAUAUAGUUACCAUAGGGAUAACAGCGUAAUUUGUUUAGAGAGUUCUUAUUGAAAAACGAGAUUGCGACCUCGAUGUUGGAUUAAAGUAACCUUAAGGUGCAGAAGCUUUAGUAAGGUAAAUCUGUUCGAUUUUUAAUACUUUACGUGAUCUGAGU
rnacentral:rRNA from 1 species